UACGGGGGGAGCAAGCGUUGUCCGGAUUUAUUGGGCGUAAAGCGCGUGUAGGCGGCCAGGUAGGUCCGCUGUGAAAACUCGAGGCUCAACCCUCGAAAGCCGGUGGAUACUGUCGGGCUAGAGUGCGGAAGAGGCGAGUGGAAUUCCUGGUGUAGCGGUGAAAUGCGCAGAUAUCGGGAGGAACACCAAUGGCGAAGGCAGCUCGCUGGGACGUGACUGACGCUGAGACGCGAAAGCGUGGGGAGCAAACAGG
rnacentral:rRNA from 1 species